rnacentral:misc_RNA from 1 species
GAUGAAGAACGUAGCGAAAUGCGAUAAGUAAUGUGAAUUGCAGAAUUCAGUGAAUCAUCGAAUCUUUGAACGCACAUUGCGCCCGCCAGUAUUCUGGCGGGCAUGCCUGUUCGAGCGUCAUUUCAACCAUCAAGCCCCCGGCUUGUGUUGGGGACCUGCGGCUGCCGCAGGCCCUGAAAACCAGUGGCGGGCUCGCUAGUCACUCCGAGCGUAGUAAUACAUCUCGCUCAGGGCGUGCUGCGGGUUCCGGCCGUUAAAAAAGCCUUAUUUACCCAAGGUUGACCUCGGAUCAGGUAGGAAGACCCGCUGAACUUAAGCAUAUAAUAAGCGGAGGA